GCCUGUAGAGGGAGAAGGGCCUGGCUGCAAGGUGCCAAGAAGGGAACCUAGACUGGCGCAGCACUGGGGAAAGGCCUGGGGAGCUCCGGCCUAGGAAAGCCGCAGGCUGAAGACCUGGGAAUCAGGACAUUGAACAUUCUGUGUAAAUAAACUGGAUUUCAUCAAAGAAAUACCAGAUUCCAUCAUCAGUAUCUCCUCCUAACCAAAACAACCUGCAAGGCCACCCAAAUCGGCUACCUGCUUGGAUUAAAAAGGAAUAAUACUGCUGUAAAGAGUGGGAUCUGGUUUCCAAGGAGGGAAGUUGUGAGCUGGUAUUCCCGUUGAACCAAAAUGGAAUAAUCGGGGUGCUCAUAGAAAUCAAAAAUGCCCCAAAGGAAUUAAAACAAGACCUAAAACAAACACUGGCUUCACAAAUGGGUUUAAAGCAGCACCUGAAAGUUUCCCAGGAAGAUUUUGGGGAAUGAUUUACAGAUGAAGAUAUAACACCCUCCGUCUGGAAUGGCAAGAUGGAUCAAUGCGGUGACCAGCAACCUGAAUGUCAUUAAUCAGAAAAUUUUCCAUGGAGGAGACCAGGAAAGCUUGGUUGACUUGGAACUUGCUAACAAAGAUGAGCGGCAGCCAGGACUUAAGCAGCUGAAAAAUCAUCUUAAGGAGGAAAUAAAAGGGUCAGAGCACAGAGGGAGGUCAGCUGCCUAGAUGUGGAAUUGGGCCAGCCAGAGAAUUUGACAUGCAGGCAGGAUAUAGAAAACUGGUACAGGAAAUGUGAUGCUAAAGCAGGGCCAGCCCUAGGCAGCAGUAUCUCAUGGGGGGCACCAAUGGAGCAUAUUGCUGCUGAUGAGCUUGGACUUCUGCCUCAGACAGAGUCUGACAAUCAUUAUUUCACAAAAUGGCCUGAAGCUUACCCAGUAACCAAGGGGGGAACCAAGAGACUGUGCCAAUAGCAGAGGUCCUACUUUAUCAAUACUUCACCAGAUGUGGAGUCCCAGCUGAGUUACACAGAAAUCAUUAAAAAGAGUUUUUGCACAGGUUUGAGAGGUUCUAAGACACUCAGAAGGACACGGAGAAGGAGCAAAGAAUUCCCAGUCAGAGAAGCUCUGGUAGCAUGACUCUGAGGAACAAAACUAAGAGCUUUUGGGUAAAAUGCUGGCUGAAAGAGGCUUAGAACUAUCUCUUGAUAUUUGAUUGCUACUGUGUUCAGGACACCAGGACUCUGCAUGUUUUUUGUAAAUAAACAGGUUUCAUAAAGGAGAUGCUUAACUGCAUCAAUUUCUCCUCAUAAUCAAAACAACCUGCAAGGCCCUGAAAAUUGA